rnacentral:lncRNA from 1 species
AGGUGAAAUGUGAAAUACAGUUGUAAACACAUCACCUCGCUCUGGCUCUCACGCCCCUGGAGGGGCUCCCCAGCGCUUGACAAUUGCAAUCGGGUCUCCUCGCCCUGGCCGGAGAAGCCCUUGGCGAAAUGUCACUACAGCGCUGCUGUGGCUCCUGAAUCUCCUCGUCCUGUGCUGCAUGCUACCGCAAGCGCCCUCCUCACUCUCGCCAUCCCCCGUCCCCACGUGUCUCAGCUCUGCCCGUCUUUCGGAACCCGACCCAAGUUGAUUCCCACCCGCUUCCCCCAAAGCCUUGUCUGUUGCCCCACAGCAUCGCCCGGGACCACGAUCGGCCAGGAGGAAGCCAGACUCCACGGGAACCAAGGUGGCCUAACCAACAUAGAAGUUCAGUGGCUGUCGCCUAACAGAUGAGCUGAGACGGAUGAUCCGGGGGUGGGAGCAGAGCCCUUCGGUCUUCUGGCACCGGCUUCUUGGGGCCCCGCCCUGCCAGUCCUGCUGCGGGCACCCCUCUUCAGAGUCUGACGGGGUCACUAGAGCUCCAGGUGCCCACUUCUCCGUUCCCGCAGGAGAUGGGGAAGACGGGUGCGAGUUUCUGGAAGAACUACACGAGGCUUAGAAGCCAGAACGUGUUUGCUGGGUCACCUAGGUGCGAAGGAGGCUGUACAAGGUAGAAAUGUGCCCGUUAUUAAGAAGAAGGGACAAAGGACACUGACAGCUCAGCCUCCCGCGGCCUCCCUGAGCCAGAAAGAACAGCUCCUUCCCCAGAGCUCACCCUGCAUCGAGUGCUUACUCCAGGAGGCAGCAGGGGAUAACGAAAGAGACAGACAGGCUUUGGAGUCAAACAGACCUGCAUUUAGAUCCUGGCUAGUUGCUCUCUGGCUGGCUGAUUUAGGGGAGUUGCUUAAACUUUCUCAAUCCCUGUGCCUUAGCAGGCAGGCAGGCAGGCAGGCAGGAAGGAAGGAGGGAGGGAAGGAAAGAAGGAAGGGAGGAAGGAAGAAGGGAGGAAGGAAGGAAGGAGGGAGGGAAGGAAGGAAGGAGGAAGGAAGGAAGGAGGGAGGAAGGAAGGAGGAAGGAAGGAAGGAAGGAAGGAAGGAGGAAGGAAGGAGGAAGGAAGGAGGAAGGAAGGAAGGAAGGAAGGAGGGAAGGAAGAAGGGAGGGAGGGAAGGAAGGAAGGAAGGAAGGAGGGAAGGAAGGAAGGAAGGAAGGAGGAAGGAAGGAAGGAGGGAGGAAGGAAGAAGGGAGGGAAGGAAGAAGGGAGGGAAGGAAGGAAGGAGGGAGGAAGGAAGGAGGGAAGGAAGGAAGGAGGGAGGAAGGAAGAAGGGAGGGAAGGAAGAAGGGAGGGAAGGAAGGAAGGAAGGAGGGAGGGAAGGAAGGAAGGAAGGAAGGAGGAAGGAAGGAAGGAAGGAAGGAAGGAGGGAGGAAGGAAGAAGGGAGGGAAGGAAGAAGGGAGGGAAGGAAGAAGGGAGGGAAGGAAGGAAGGAAGGAAGGAGGGAGGAAGGAAGGAGGAAGGAAGGAAGGAGGGAGGAAGGAAGGAGGAAGGAAGGAAGGAGGGAGGGAAGGAAGGAAGGAGGAAGGAAGGAGGGAGGAAGGAAGGAGGGAAGGAAGAAGGGAGGGAAGGAAGAAGGGAGGGAAGGAAGGAAGGAAGGAAGGAGGGAGGAAGGAAGGAAGGAGGAAGGAAGGAGGAAGGAAGGAGGAAGGAAGGAAGGAGGAAGGAAGGAGGGAGGAAGGAAGAAGGGAGGGAAGGAAGGAAGGAAGGAGGGAGGAAGGAAGGAAGGAGGGAGGAAGGAAGGAAGGAAGGAAGGAAGGAGGGAGGAAGGAAGGAGGAAGGAAGGAGGAAGGAAGGAGGGAGGGAAGGAAGAAGGGAGGGAAGGAAGAAGGGAGGGAAGGAAGGAAGGAAGGAGGGAGGGAAUGGAGACCCCGGCACUCAGCGGGAGGGGUCCCUCGUCAGGACACGUGGGACGGGGGUACUUUUGCAGCUGUCCUCAGCUACUCUAUCGGCCACCACAACAACCACAGUCCAGUAGCAGCAAUAGCAAUAGUCCGUAGGUAGCAGUGAGACUCAGUCCCUCCCAAGCCGGUCGUGUGUCAAAGUGACAGAACAUACCGGGUUCCCCGGGCCUGGGGCCGGGUCGCCCCACGGGGAGGUGCAGAUUUUCCGCUGUCGUGCGUCCCGGGGCUGAAGGAGGGCCAGCCUUCCCUGCAGACACUUCUGCACCCGCGUGAGGCAUCCGGUCAGGGUCAGGGACCACAGGGGCCAGACCAGCAAUGUGUCCG